GUUCUGAUUAUUGAAAGGUGCUUGCAUCUUGAUUUAAUUUUGAACGAGUGGCGGACGGGUGAGUAACACGUGGGUAACCUGCCCUUAAGUGGGGGAUAACAUUUGGAAACAGAUGCUAAUACCGCAUAAAUCCAAGAACCGCAUGGUUCUUGGCUGAAAGAUGGCGUAAGCUAUCGCUUUUGGAUGGACCCGCGGCGUAUUAGCUAGUUGGUGAGGUAACGGCUCACCAAGGCAAUGAUACGUAGCCGAACUGAGAGGUUGAUCGGCCACAUUGGGACUGAGACACGGCCCAAACUCCUACGGGAGGCAGCAGUAGGGAAUCUUCCACAAUGGACGCAAGUCUGAUGGAGCAACGCCGCGUGAGUGAAGAAGGCUUUCGGGUCGUAAAACUCUGUUGUUGGAGAAGAAUGGUCGGCAGAGUAACUGUUGUCGGCGUGACGGUAUCCAACCAGAAAGCCACGGCUAACUACGUGCCAGCAGCCCGCGGUAAUACA
rnacentral:rRNA from 2 species